ACGCUCGACAGUGUCAGCAGCCGCGGUAAUACGAAGGGGGCUAGCGUUGUUCGGAUUUACUGGGCGUAAAGGGCGCGUAGGCGGACUGAUAAGUCAGGGGUGAAAUCCCAAGGCUCAACCUUGGAACUGCCUUUGAUACUGUUUGUCUUGAGUUCGAGAGAGGUAAGUGGAACUGCGAGUGUAGAGGUGAAAUUCGUAGAUAUUCGCAAGAACACCAGUGGCGAAGGCGGCUUACUGGCUCGAAACUGACGCUGAGGCGCGAAAGCGUGGGGAGCAAACAGGAUUAGAUACCCUGGUAGUCCACGCCUUAAACGAUGGAUGCUAGCCGUCGGGCAGCUUGCUGCUCUGUGGCGCCGUUAACACAUUAAGCAUCCCGCCUGGGGAGUACGGUCGCAAGAUUAAAACUCAAAGGAAUUGACGGG
rnacentral:rRNA from 1 species